UACGUAGGGUGCGAGCGUUGUCCGGAAUUAUUGGGCGUAAAGAGCUCGUAGGCGGUGUGUCGCGUCUGCUGUGAAAACUCAGGGCUCAACUCUGAGCUUGCAGUGGGUACGGGCACACUAGAGUGCUGUAGGGGAGACUGGAAUUCCUGGUGUAGCGGUGAAAUGCGCAGAUAUCAGGAGGAACACCGGUGGCGAAGGCGGGUCUCUGGGCAGUUACUGACGCUGAGGAGCGAAAGCAUGGGGAGCGAACAGG
rnacentral:rRNA from 1 species